AGUGAACGCUGGCGGUAGGCCUAACACAUGCAAGUCGAACGGCAGCACAGUAAGAGCUUGCUCUUACGGGUGGCGAGUGGCGGACGGGUGAGGAAUACAUCGGAAUCUACUUUUUCGUGGGGGAUAACGUAGGGAAACUUACGCUAAUACCGCAUACGACCUACGGGUGAAAGCAGGGGAUCUUCGGACCUUGCGCGAUUGAAUGAGCCGAUGUCGGAUUAGCUAGUUGGCGGGGUAAAGGCCCACCGAGGCGACGAUCCGUAGCUGGUCUGAGAGGAUGAUCAGCCACACUGGAACUGAGACACGGUCCAGACUCCUACGGGAGGCAGCAGUGGGGAAUAUUGGACAAUGGGCGCAAGCCUGAUCCAGUCAUACCGCGUGGGUGAAGAAGGCCUUCGGGUUGUAAAGCCCUUUUGUUGGGAAAGAAAAGCAGCAGGUUAAUACCCCGCUGUUCUGACGGUACCCAAAGAAUAAGCACCGGCUAACUUCGUG
rnacentral:rRNA from 1 species